AGUGAACGCUGGCGGUAGGCCUAACACAUGCAAGUCGAACGGCAGCACAGUAAGAGCUUGCUCUUACGGGUGGCGAGUGGCGGACGGGUGAGGAAUACAUCGGAAUCUACUUUUUCGUGGGGGAUAACGUAGGGUAACUUACGCUAAUACCGCAUACGACCUACGGGUGAAAGCAGGGGAUCUUCGGACCUUGCGCGAUUGAAUGAGCCGAUGUCGGAUUAGCUAGUUGGCGGGGUAAAGGCCCACCAAGGCGACGAUCCGUAGCUGGUCUGAGAGGAUGAUCAGCCACACUGGAACUGAGACACGGUCCAGGCUCCUACGGGAGGCAGCAGUGGGGAAUAUUGGACAAUGGGCGCAAGCCUGAUCCAGCCAUACCGCGUGGGUGAAGAAGGCCUUCGGGUUGUAAAGCCCUUUUGUUGGGAAAGAAAAGCAGCAGGUUAAUACCCCGCUGUUCUGACGGUACCCAAAGAAUAAGCACCGGCUAACUUCGUG
rnacentral:rRNA from 1 species